rnacentral:rRNA from 1 species
GACGAACGCUGGCGGCGUGCUUAACACAUGCAAGUCGAACGAAGAGCGCUGGAAGCUUGCUGCAAUCAAUCUUAGUGGCGAACGGGUGGGCAACGCGUAAUCAACCUGCCCUUGAGAGGGGGACAACAGCUGGAAAUGAUUGCUAAUACAGCAUACGAUCGAAUCUCGGGGUCCAUGAGAGAUAAAAGGUGGCCCUUAGAGGAAAGCUCUCACUGAAGGAGGGGAUUUCGUGUGCUUAGCUGGAUGGGGGGGUAACGUGCCACCAAGGCGAGGAACAGUAGCCGGUCUGGGAGGAUGCACUGCCCAAAUUGGACUGGGGCACGGCCCAGGCCCCUUCGGGAGGCAGCCGUGGGGGAUUUUUCGCAAUGGACGCAAUGCCGACUGCGCAACGCCGCGUGAGGGCUGGCGGCCUUCGGGUUGUAAAAGUCUUUUAAUCGGGACGAAAGGCCUUCUUGCUAAUAGUGAGAUGUAUUGACGGUACCGGAAGAAUAAGCCACGGCUAACUACGUG